CGGGUGCACUGAUCCGGCCGGGCCUUUCCCUCUGUGGAACCCCAUGGCCUUCACUGGCUGUGCGGGGGAAACAGGACUUUUACUGUGAAAAAAUUAGAGUGCUCCAGGCAGGCCUAUGCUCGAAUACAUUAGCAUGGAAUAAUAGAAUAGGACGCGUGGUUCUAUUUUGUUGGUUUCUAGGACCGCCGUAAUGAUUAAUAGGGACAGUCGGGGGCAUCAGUGUUCAAUUGUCAGAGGUGAAAUUCUUGGAUCUAUUGAAGACUAACUACUGCGAAAGCAUUUGCCAAGGAUGUUUUCAUUGAUAAGGAACGAAAGUUAGGGGAUCGAAGACGAUCAGAUACCGUCGUAGUCUUAACUAUAAACUAUGCCGACUAGGGAUCGGACGAUGUUAUUUCUUGACGCGUUCGGCACCUUUCGAGAAAUCAAAGUGCUUGGGCUCCAGGGGGAGUAUGGUCGCAAGGCUGAAACUUAAAGAAAUUGACGGAAGGGCACCACCAGGGGUGGAACCUGCGGCUUAAUUUGACUCAACACGGGGAAACUCACCAGGUCCAGACACAGUGAGGAUUGACAGAUUGAGAGCUCUUUCUUGAUUCUGUGGGUGGUGGUGCAUGGCCGUUCUUAGUUGGUGGAGUGAUUUGUCUGCUUAAUUGCGAUAACGAACGAGACCUUAACCUGCUAAAUAGCCCGUACUGCUCUGGCAGUUCGCCGGCUUCUUAGAGGGACUAUCGG
rnacentral:rRNA from 1 species